GGUGCUGUAGCUCAGUGGUAGAGCAUUUACCUAGCACAAUGAGGAACUGGAUUUGAUCCUCAGCACCA
rnacentral:tRNA from 1 species